AGCAGUAGGGGAUUUUCCGCAAUGGGCGAAAGCCUGACGGAGCAAUCUCGCGUGAGGGAUGACGGCCUUUGGGUUGUAAACCUCUUUUUUCAGGGAGGAAUACCU
rnacentral:rRNA from 1 species